rnacentral:misc_RNA from 3 species
AACGCACAUUGCGCCCGCCAGCAUUCUGGCGGGCAUGCCUGUUCGAGCGUCAUUUCAACCCUCGACCUCCCUUUGGGGAAGUCGGCGUUGGGGACCGGCAGCACACCGCCGGCCCUGAAAUGGAGUGGCGGCCCGUCCGCGGCGACCUCUGCGUAGUAAUCCAACUCGCACCGGAACCCCGACGCGGCCACGCCGUAAAACACCCAACUUCUGAACGUUGACCUCGAAUCAGGUAGGACUACCCGCUGAACUUAA